UGCUGUCUCCAGCGGCCGGUGAGCGGACCCACACCUGGCAUGGCCCUUCUGCUCCUGCAGCUCCCUGCCUGCCUGGUGCCCCAUCUCUGCCAGGAGUCAGGUGGGCCCCCGUGAGCUGGGGCUGGGGACUGGGCGCCCUGGGCUCCUUGCAGCGGAGAAUGAAAGCUCACUCUGUCUAGGGAGCCUUUCAGCAAGGGUGGGCAUCUGUCCCCCUCACCCCAACCUCGUGCCCGCCAGGCCUAGAAGCCCUGGGCCUGCCUUAAGCUCUUGGAAGGCGACAGCAGAGGGGACCCCUUCACAGACCUCGUUCUUAGAGAGCCCAGGCUGCAGAUGUCACUUGCUAAAGGUCACUGCCUGUUGCUGUUUCCCACGAGCUGUGUCCCCAGCCCACCGGGCCCUGGACAGGAGGCGUCCCAGCCGGAUUUGCACGGCGCAGCGUGUAACCUUCUUGGGCCCGUGUGUGCCCGUCAGGCAUCCAAGCCUAUCCUGGACAUCCCUCCAGGGACACCUCGUUAGCAGAGGUGAGACUUCCAGCCUCAGAACUUAUGGCUGCCAUAAAUCUACCUCGACAGUGA